UUCGUAGGCGGUGUGGCAAGUCGGAAGUGAAAUCUCCAGGCUUAACUUGGAGGCUGCUCCCGAAACUGCCAUGCUAGAGUGCGGGAGAGGCGAGUGGAAUUGCAGGUGUAGCGGUGAAAUGCGUAGAUAUCUGCAGGAACACCCGUGGCGAAAGCGGCUCGCUGGACCGCAACUGACGCUGAGGAACGAAAGCUAGGGGAGCAAACAGGAUUAGAUACCCUGGUAGUCCUAGCCCUAAACGAUCAGGACUUGGGGUGCAUCCCGUUGGGGGUGCGUCCCGUAGCUAACGCGUUAAGUCCUGCGCCUGGGGAGUACGGUCGCAAGGCUGAA
rnacentral:rRNA from 1 species